GUAUUGUCCACAGUGUCACAUGUCUUUGAUUGCUCCUCACUUCUUUCUAGAUCAUCUUGUUCUUUCCGUUGUUGCAGCCGCAUUUGCCUCUGGCGGUCCUGGUUGUGGGUUAAAAUACUGGUUGCGCUCAUCCUUGGGCCAGAUGUGCCGCUGGUUGUGGAAUCGGAGCUCCACUAGUGUUGUGUUGUAGUGAAGUGACCCAAUCAAAGCCAGAAUACCUUUGCCUGAAAUGAAGUUGGACUCAACAUUAAGGUUGGUGAUGCUGCAGCUCUUCUUCAGCACUUUGGCCAAAACAAAAGCUACUUAAUCAUUCGCGUGGGUGUUGGCAAGGCUGAAAACCUCAGCGUAAGUGUUGCUAAUACAUCAGCAAAGCUCACCAAAACCUCUUGGGAUAUGUCCUCAAUUUUGUUUAGGUUGACUUCACUCAAGGAGGAGUCGUUACUCAAGAUGUUUUCCAAGGUCUUAACAACAUCAGUGGGGUUACCACUUGGCCUCUCUGGUGUGACGUGAUGAUGAAGGGCACUUUUAUGGAUGCCUUUAGGUUUUUGACCGAUGUUGCCAUUCCUCUUGCAAUCUAAUCGGGACAAGUCCACAAAAUUCCAAUUGCUUGACCUAGCUUCUUUCUCCCCAUCACCCCCUGUUCUGAGCCCCCAGUUUUGUUGCUCUCCCUCCUCUUCAUUAUCCUCAGGCUCUUCACUGCCACAUUCCUCUUCACUCUUAUCUGUCUGGCACUCAUCCAUGCUGUCCUGUGUGUCACCAUAGAAAAGAAAACAAGGUUGAGCUCUGGCAUACUGUACCUCAAGCAAUGAUGCUUAAUUAAGAAAGAUAUCACCAGCUGAGACAACUGAGACAACAGCUGAGCAAUAACUAUGUUCUGUGGAAGCAAUGUUGCAGUCUUCAGAACUCUCUUUGAACAAUUUGUAUUUUUAUUUGAUAUAGUAUUAUUGUGUAUAAAAUUAGGAACUUCUCGUUGAAUUUCAGUGUUUCUAAACUAAGCUAACCAAAGCUAUCCAUAACUCAUGGGUAAAAAUCUUCAAGACAGUGGCCCUCCAGGAGCUGUGUUUGACAGUCCUCCUUUAACUGUGCCCUCAAAUCAAGUACAUCCAAUCCUUAUGCUACGUUCCAUUUGUACUCUGAGGUUGGAAGUUCAGAGUUCCCAGUAGAAAUUUUUAAAUGGAAUGCCCUCCUAAGUCAGAGUUCUGACUCGGAAUCUCUGAGGAAUUACAACAAUUGGAGCAGUUGGUGUUGGAGCAGGCUGAAGCUAAAUUCCACAAAGAGGUGGCCUUCCACAAGUGAGUAUUGGAAACGCCAGCCUCAAAUGAACUGCUCACAGAAACUAUAGACUUAAUUAUAAAUUUAAAGACAUUUUUAAACCCUUCAUGAAGCUGCAGACCUUAAACUUUUUUGGUUUACCAAAAAGGAAGCCUAACCUGACCCCCACACAAAUAAUUUUGCUUGUUAUGUGGAUAUGACUACACUUUCAGAAUACCUUAAAUAGUAUAAGGCAGGGUCAGCGAACGUCGGUCCUGGUAAGCCGCAGGCCUGCAGAGUUUUUUUAAUCAAAAUGGUUACUAGAAAGCUACAGGCAGGUGAGUUUAAAUUAGGGUUGGAGCUGAACUCUGCAGGGCUGCAGCUCUCCAGGACUGGAGUUCACCACCCCUGGUAUAGGGGUACAAUAUCUUGUCACUUGGCCAGUACCCUACAAAGGUACACCUUUGUACCUUAAUUAACCAUGAAGGGUGUCUUUUAAGGGUACCAACCCAGUGGCAAGCUCUAGCGCUUGUGUCAAGAAAAAACAAAUGGAAUGCAAGUGGUGCAUCAAAGUUUGGAAUAUCACUCAAUUCCUAUAUAUAGAUCCUACCUCUAGCAAUCUGUGAGUCUCAUCCUCCCAGUACUUCAGCAGAGCCUCUCGGCUAAAAGUGCCUGUUGGCUGCUUGGCCGUCUGGUCCUCAUGCCUUAGCCCAGUGGGUAUGUUCAUAUCGGGUUCAAUUUCAGCCAUAACCUUCUCCAGAUCCUGGAUUUCCUCAUUAGUCAGGGAGGCCAGAAGUUCAUCUUCAUCGAUGUCCUCAUACUUGCCAAGCUGUUUAUGGUACCCAAAGUUGCUCAUACUCGUAACACUAUGUCUCCUUUGUGAGUAUGAGUUUUUAUGCUGCCUCAAUACUUGAAUGUGGAAUUAGUGCAGGCUUCUGGGCAUGUGUUAGAUACACUGUUAGCCUAAUCUAGGAAGCUGGUGGAGGAACUUGAGUGGAGGAGGGUGCAGGACAGAGUAUCUGCAUAUGAUGGUGUCUCUCUUUACAGGACACCAAAAUUAGCUUGCAAGAAGAAUGCAAGUUCAUUUUGUAGCGGUGAGACCUGUCAGCAACUGUUGGCCAAAAAGUGACAUAGGAACACUGCCCCUUAGGGAUGCCACUAAAACUUAACUAAUUUGUAGUAAGUUACAAGAUUCAAGAUGCAUUAAGAUUCUCAUGUAACACAGUUUAACCUCCUUCAAUGCCAACAGUUUUGAAGUUAAUAAGCACAUACAAGUUUGGUGACCAAACAGAUUGGAUUUAUAUACUGCUACCUUUUAUGCUCAGCUUGUCCUCCAAAGUAGCUGUGCAGAUACCAUAAAACCUCUGGAGCUUUAGAAUUGAUAUUACAUAAUUGUGCAGUGAGUACUUUUCCCAGAUUCUUUUCAAAUCCACUGAUUGUUGGAAAGUUACCAGCAUGCAAUAUUACAACAUUUUGUUUAGGAACAAUGAAAACUAGACAGUUCAGGGCCUCCAGAACCAAUGAACCAAAGCUCAUUGAAUAUGUGUAUAACCUAGCUAACAGGACUCAAAACAUUGCACUGUCAUGAUAUGCUCACAUUUUUUCAAAAGCUAUCCAUCUGUAACCAUCUCUAUCAAAUUAAAUUAUCAGAUGUACUUGAACAGGCACAGAUAAUUAUACAGUAAACUAUAAAUGCCUCUAAUGUUUCUGAGAGUUUAUCUCAAGGUUAGUUGGUGAGUUUCUGAUAAUCCAGAAGUCAAAGGUUUCUGCUUGACAGGUUGCCGAACAUGCUUGAUGAUGUUAACAGGGCAUAAAGCUAUAAAUAGAUAUGACCUGCUUUAAUAACUUCAAUUGUGACAAUGCAGAUUAUUCUAGAACCACGGUUUAGAAGCACCGGGGUGUGAUAUGCAAUCUUAUGUACAUUGUAAGAGACACAAUAAAUACUCCUUGUGUAUGUGUUGUAUAUGUGUUGUAUUAAAGGUUAAAAUGAAAACAAAUGGAACAUCUUGAUUGUACACUAGUAGGUGGUAUUGAGUGGAAAGCAGUCUGAUGUCAUAGAACGGGUAUCAACAUUUUUAUUUUUAUCUGAUUAAACCAUGUUUUUGUCAGCUAGAACAUAAUUUUAUUGCACAAAUAGCACCAAGACAUUACUUUGGAGGCAAAGUCCUUUGGAAGUGAUGCGAAAUACACAUUGUAGUGUUCAAUGUGAAGGGUUAAAAACACUUAACAUUCACAUUUUUAAUUGUUUUGAACUCAUGACGGACAACUAGCGAAACCUCUGGUCAUGUCAACCUCAUGUUAAUUUGAAUAAAACUCAAAGUGCUUUCUCCUUAACUUUUACCCUGAGAGACCAUCACUCCUGAUACAUGAUUCGUCCAUACAAAUCAUAUUCUUUGUACAUCAAGUAGCUUUUCAGUCCUGGUGGGAAAGGACCUGAGUUUAUGAACUUUGGGUCACCCAGCCUUAGUGGAGUCAUCUCUCUCCUGAUGGCAAGUCUGCAUUGGUGUUGCAGUGAACGAGGAUUACCUGAGAAAGAUUUUUUUUUUUUUGUUGUUGUUGUUGUUUUAUGUUGUUAUCUAAUGCAAUUACAUCCAUAUAUUGUAAGUAUAGCUUAAGUGUCCAUACUAGAAUCGUUUACGCUACUCACCCAGUAUUUCUGAAAUUUCAGUCCACUCUUUAUGCCUCUUUAGAACCAUUUUCAGCUUGGAGCAGAUAAGAACAUGAUUGACAUAGUCGAGGAGAACCCGCACAGCUCUUCCAGAGAACUGCACUAGCCAUGAGACACUGAUGAAAUCACAAAACUACAUGCAACAGAUGAUAGAGACAGAAGUAAAGAUACAUAUGCCACAUAUAUAGAUAAAAAACACAUUUCCUUCAGAGUUUAGUAAGCUUAAAAUGCAUUAGCUCUGUUCCAAAACCUAGUGAGUUACUUUGUUAUCUGCUGCUUAUGAUUUCUAACAUUUUACUGUUAGCAUGUUGCUAAGCUAAUGCUACAGCACUUUAGCAUAGAAGUGCAAAGAUAAAAUUUUGGAACACUACAUAGAAACUGACUGACUUAAAUUGAGCCGGAGACUCAACUCUUGUUUGAUUUCAGUAGCGUGUCCUAUUUGCAUGUUGCUAAGAUAAUGCUGUCAAAGUAGCAUGAAGUCAGUGGUUGGAUACUUUUAAGUAUCUAAUGAUUUAUACACAAAAACAUUUCUCUUGUUUUAUUCGCCAUAUUGGAUUUAUUUUUAACUUCGUUAUACAUUUGAGAACAAACAUCUGGAAUGUGCAUAUGUUGGCAACUUACUAGAUUUUGGAACGGACAUUAUGGGUGAACUUACUGGAACCUUCUCACUGGUCUGUUCUGAGGAGCGACCCCAUGUUGAGUCAUGAGGACAACAGAAGCAUUUUUCUGCAUCAUACCCACUGUUUAACAGCAGUCGCAUCAUCAUCUCAUCCCUCAGGCAGUAUUGUAAGGCAGUGGGGAACAGUGUGUCGUUGACCUCUGUGAAGUAACAGUUCACAUCUGCUUGGCUGGCCAGGAGAAUCUUGACAAUCUCAUACCUCCCACCUCUCACCGCCACUAGGAGGCAGUGCAGGGGAUCCAGGUCCGAUUUGGCUCCUGCGUUUAACAGCAACUGGGCACCGGUCACAUCUCCAUUAGAGACCGCAAAGUACAAAGCGGUCUUUCGCAUAUCUCCAUACUUCUCAGAAACAUGCGUGUCUAGAAGAGCGUUGACGUCGAAACCUCUGUCCACCAGGAGUUCCAUGCAUCGGACAUUGCCUCCAUCUGCAGCUGCAUGAAUUGGGGUCUGGCCUGAGAGACGGAGGGCUCUCCUUGUGGUUACUGGGAUUAACAUUCUUAAGGCGCUGUAAAGAGAACUAGAUUUUAACAUUUUCUGAAGAAAAUGAGUGGUGGGUCUAAUUACUCCAUAAACUUGAAUGCAUAUUUUAGGAGUUAGAGGAAAAUUUCAUUAGAUUUGUUGUAUAAAGGCAAAUCUUGCAAGGCUAAUGCUGUCGAUUUCCAAUUCCAAAGGCCAGUUUAACUUUCGUUAGAGAUCGGCGUAACAAAACUAGCAAAGGUUAGCAUAUUUCGUAAAACUUACAGAUAAUGCCCCUUGUACGCUGCACAGUGGAUGGGAAGCUGUAAGGAAAGAUUAGCAAUGUUGGGAUCAGCUCCAUGUUGAAGUAAAAGUUCAAUGCAGUCAGGAUUGCCAGAGCCAGCAGCAUCAUAUAGCACACUGUCUCCAUUUGGUGCCUGAGCAUUUACAUCACCACCUGUUGGUGUGGAGGACAUCAUGGUUUAGUGUUAGUUUAAUAUAAAUAUGUAACUGUAUAAUGUGAACAUCCUAAUAUUUUUUUUUUCUCUAGAAAAAUUAAUUAACCAGUAUUACCAUAGUGAAUAAGGAUGUCCACCGCCUCUGCUUGUCCGUACUCUGCUGCAAUCCCCAUGGGCGUCACUCCAUGCUCUUCUGUCUCCGACACGUUCCCUCCAUGUUGCAGCAGCAGCGUAAGAAUGUCAGUGCAGCCCACCUUGGCCGCCUCAUGAAUGGCAGUCCACUUUUUAGGGCAGGCGGUUCACAGAUGCCCCCCGUGAUAUAAGUGUAAAGGCGAUUUCAAAUGAGUCUGUUCUUACAGCUCCAAAACAGAACACAAGAACUUAUUAUGAAGGCACUAAAGACACUAAAGAAAUUGCGAAUUAGACCUACCCAGUAAUAAAGGGGAUUCAUUUUUGCUGUUUAUUCUGUUGGGUGAAGCUCCGUGCUCAAGCAGAGUCCUAACAAUCUCCACCAGCCCAGCUUGAGUCGCCAAAAUCAAUGGCGUCUCUCCAUCUGCAGUUUCCUCCUCUAAACUCAACCUGUAAGAACCUUUUCAACCAAACCACUGAGUGUUGUAUGAAUAUAUCAGACUUGAAGCUUGAACGUAAUACAGUUAAUUUUAGUCAUUUUGUUUUGUUCGUUUGGAAAGGAAACAAACGACUGUUAUUUUAAAUGGGUCACUGAAUUAAUCACUCAACCAAUUUGUUCAAAAAUCAUUAUUACUUCGGGAACUUAAACAAGUUACUUUUAUCGGUCAUUGAAUCAUUUAUGUAAAUGAUUUCUUCAGUUUCAAUUCAUUCAGUGUGUUGCUCUGAGGCUAUGGUUGAUUCUGCUGUGACUUUGUUUGGGAAUAUUUUAACUGGCGGAGCAAAAUAGGUCAAAGUAUCUUGCAAUAUUGUGUCCAAAAUGUAUGUUACUCAGAAUUAAUUUCGUUUUUUUGAAAUAGCUCACCAUAAAGUACCAUCUCCAGCACCUGGACAGAUUGCUGGACUGCAGCUCUAUGAAUUGGGUACCACCCCUUGCUAUCCACCUCAGUGAAUGCGGCAGGAUAGUCCGACAGCUCCUGCAGAGCAAAGAGGUCACCUGUGGGGCCAGAUGAAAUUGCCUUACACGUACUGUAGCUAAUUAUCAUCAUUUAACAACUUAAUUCAAUAGAAUGAAAUGAAAUGUGUAUUUUCCCUUUAACCUAAUUGUUUUACAGCAAGCAUAAAAUCUGGUGGGAAUUUCACCUCGGAAUAUUGCAUCCAAGAUCCUUUGAUGUUCCACACUGGAUUUAUUUGCAGGAUAGAAAAAGUGGACGUUUAUAUAAUGUUUACUAAGAUGUUUGCUUUAUUUCAAGAUUCCAAUGUGAACAUCACACCUUCCGAGAGAGGCAAUGUCUUUACAUGACUCUUGAAUGCUCAGUUGGAUUGCAGCAUCAAGUAGGUCAUCAUCCUCAUCUAGGUCACCUGAUGGAUCCAUUUUCCUGGAGAUGACAGAGGUGCUUCAGGGGGUUGUCUGGAACAAAUUCAAAAGCUAUUAGUCUGCAUUCCCUAAGACUAGAAAACCAUCGAUUUGUUGCUAGAGAACAGGAUGGAUCUCAGACUUGAGCAGAGGGGACGUGAUUUUUUUGGAAUCUCUUAAUAAAUGUGCGAUUAAAGUAUCUUUAUUCUGUUCCAAAACCUAGUGGGCUGCAACCAGUGAUGCUGUAUUAAACGGAAAGAGACGAGAGCUACAGCCAGCUGAUGUGAGAAAAAGUAUUGCAAAAGUAACAUAAUCCAUUACUUUCUAUAAAAAGUAACACAAGUUGUUACUUUUUUAGGGAGUAACUCAAUGUAUUACUUAAUUUUGAAAUAAACUUUCCCAACUCUGAUAAUUAGACACCAACCGAAAGUUGUUUAUUUCCAAUAUUGAGGUGGUGAUUUGG